ACCUCGUAAGCCGAAAAGAGGAUAUAGAGUAGGCG
rfam:Arachidicoccus sp. BS20, complete genome.